rnacentral:sRNA from 1 species
AGUCGCUGCAACUUCCGGGAGGUGCUUGUGUGCCUGGUGCGGGAGCUACGGGGCCCAGGGAUUGUGUUUGAAGUAGUGCUUCUACCAACAUGUCCCGUGGUUCCAGCGCCGGUUUUGACCGCCACAUUACCAUUUUUUCACCCGAGGGUAGGCUCUACCAAGUAGAAUAUGCUUUUAAGGCUAUUAACCAGGGUGGCCUUACAUCAGUAGCUGUCAGAGGGAAAGACUGUGCAGUAAUUGUCACACAGAAGAAAGUACCUGACAAAUUAUUGGAUUCCAGCACGGUGACUCACUUAUUCAAGAUAACUGAAAACAUUGGUUGUGUGAUGACCGGAAUGACAGCUGACAGCAGAUCCCAGGUACAGAGGGCACGCUAUGAGGCAGCUAACUGGAAAUACAAGUAUGGCUAUGAGAUUCCUGUGGACAUGCUGUGUAAAAGAAUUGCCGAUAUUUCUCAGGUCUACACACAGAAUGCUGAAAUGAGGCCUCUUGGUUGUUGUAAGUAUGCUAAGAGGUCUCCCAAAUAAUUGAUGAAUUGAAACUUUUUACAGAACAUGUAUACAGAAUUAUUUAAAUAACACUUGAGUUCUGAACAUGUGGUUUGGAAAAUACAUAGAGUGGGAAAAUCUUUAUAAUAAAUCAGAACUAAAGGAUA